AUUUUAUGACCAGCUUUGUCCAUGAUUGUAUGAUAAGGGACCAUACUAUAUUGAGUAUGCCGAGAUGACAGAUGCUUGUUGGUGACAAAAAAGUUUGGUGUGGUGUCAUAUGUCAUAGUACGGGGUUGGGGGGAUUUUCCUCCAGAAACAUUUGGUAUUUUUCCACCCUAGACGGGAUUUUGUCCGUUUUAUAAAACAAAUUUUUGGAUAUACAGC